UACAACCAGCCAGGCUCCCUGCUGGCCAGAUGCUGGGGGAGGGCUGAAACUCUACCCUCUCCUCUGCCGCCGGGCACCAACCAGGCCUGAGGUGGGGGGGACAGGGCCUGCCUGUUGUCGGGGCUCAGGCAGCUGGGAAAGGAAGCUGGUGGCAGGAGGUAGCCCAGCCACCCUCGCAGCAGCAGCCAGCACUCAAGCAGGAGACACAGCCUGCUGCACCUGACAAGGGACCAGUGAGACCAGAGGCUGUGCUGAGCUUGAGGGCCUCUAAAUCCCCAGCAAGACCACUGACAGCUGCGCCAGCUGUGCAGCCCAGAACCCGGCCAUGGGUGACUCCCACCUUCCUCCAGCACCAGGUCCCACUUGCUCAUCUCCAGGCCCCACCCACUGCUUACAAGGCUGCCCACAACAGUUAAAAUGAACAAUUCAGAGCACCAUGAAGCACCUUUGCCUUACGGAUACCACAGAUCCUGGCAUUGAACGUCCCUCAGCUGGUGAACCCUCUGGAUCUCAGAGGCCUGACUCAGUUCACCAUGAGAAUUUCUUACAGGAAGAGCUCUGAGUCACAGGGAAGCAGGUCCAGGCCAGGAUGACAGACUGGCCCCGCGAGAGACCACCACACAGGAGCAUCUCUGCAGUCAGGGACCUGUGAGUGCGUUUCUCCCACCUCCGCACCUACUGGAUGAAGCCACAUCUUGCAGUACUGAGGUCCUCCCCACCCACAAUUGCAGAUGUCACCCACCUACAUCUACAGGGACCCUGACAACAACACCUGUCACAUCUACCAGAAUCACAAGCCUUUGGCCCAGAACUUACCACCAUAGCUUCUCUGGGUGCAGAGCCUCAGAUCCAGAGAUUUGGCAGAAGUCAGGUUUGUAGCAAAGUUUAAAGGGCCCAGUGAGGCCCAGGGCAAUGUGGUUUAAGGACAAUUACUGGUUUGGUUUGGGGUUUGGGGUUUGCUGUUGUUUGAUCCUGGGGAUCAAAUCCAGAACCUUGGGCUUCCAAAACAAACUGGGCCGGGGAGAUAGCUCAGUAGAAUAAGUGCUUGCCUGGCUAGUGCAAGAGCCUG